rnacentral:misc_RNA from 1 species
GGAAGUCGGUGGUCAAUUCAGAAGACCUGGGAAAAGGAGGCCUCCUUACCAUGGUAGCUUGUUCAAAAGCAUAAGCAAUCUCAAUGAGCUUGGCUCAGUACCCUUAAGCCCACCAAAACAGACCCCAAAUGGCAUUCCAUUGCCAUCAUACCCAGCAGGGACUGUAAUUCCAGGAUAUCCCUCAAUUGCCAACACUGAGACAGCACCUGUACCAGGUGUCAC